UCGAUUCUAGUCCACACUUAAGGCUCUGCCUAGUAAAGGCCGGGGAUUAACGAUCUCUGUUAAUCAAAUUCAAGACGUUCUCAUCAAUGCCAAUCAUGUUAUCAAUAGUGUACAUAGCACCGUUCAUCAUAACCAGCCAUCCACUAAAGUAAUACAUUCCCACGUGACAACUUCCACCUGCAUGCCAUCUACCCAGCAGACCUAGGUUACAGUUUAGGUGUAUAAAUGAGUCCCUCACGGGCAUGUCAACUUACCUGCAUGUUCAGAUUCUCAACUGAGGUCCAAGGUUCUACAAAAUUAUAGGUUGUCCAAAAUUAAUUUUUAAGGCGAUAAUAUUUGGGGCCAACUGAAUUGAGUUUUAUGUAAAAACAAGACCGCCAAGUUUAGUAUUAUGGUAAGAGCAUCUCCAAUGGGCUCUUUAAACAAGCUCUUAACUCUAAAUUUAAAGAGCAAGUCAAGAAUUGGUGCUCCAAUGGGCUCUUAGAAACUCUUUAAGAAUUUAAGAGCCUGCUCUCUCUCCUCUCUUUUAAAGAGCAUCUAGUAGCUCUUAACUUUUUUUUUUGUAGGAGUAGCUCUUAACUUUUUAUUUAUGAAUAUAAUAUUAAUUUCUCUUCUAGCUUCCCUCUCUUUUAGCCUUUAGGUAACUUUUCCCUUUUAUUUAUAUAAAAUAAAUAUAAAAUGUGAAUAAAGAGCUAAGCAUGAAGAGUAGUAUUGGAGUUCUCACGUUUUUCAAUAUAUUAACUCAUUAGGAGCCACAUUUGAUAUUAUUAUUUAACGAAUGAUUUAGGAGCACCAUUGGAGAUGCUCUAAAUGCUCAAGCUUGAGUGUGAUUCUUAUAGAAUGAUUAAUGUGAUAUAAAGUGUGUUAUUCAACAGUUGCCUGACCACUCCUAAAGAACAUGCUGACUGACCUCCCUAUUGGCCUGGCUGAUCAACCAUGAACACAGCGCAAUGGGAAGUAAAAAUCUAUAAUAUAGAUACGAAAUUUCGAGCUGCUUGUAUUAGGUGUAAUGUGGAAAUACUUGUGAACAAACAAUUCAGGGAACUUCUCACUCAC
rnacentral:lncRNA from 1 species